CUAUUUUGAACAUAGCUAUGAUAACAACGCAACAAACAAGCGAAAGAAAAACUUAUUGACUACCUUAGUAUUUUCCAAUAGGAACUCCCUGAUGGUAGUUUUUUUUUUUUUUGUGUAUCUUCAUUCGAAGAAUUGUUUCACUAUAUAGGGAGGAGAACCUACUAUCUCCACAUUAUCUAUCAAUACGGUACUAAUUGGUGUUGUACAUUCUUACCUUUGUUUAUGGGCUUAUAUAAAUAUUAAAGCCUAUUAAGAAAAUGUGUACAGAUUUAUAUUUGCGUACAUGAGCUUAGCAACGAGACCAUAUAAAAUUAGAGAACACAGACCGGCUGCCGCAGUUUGAUUUGGGCCCAUGGCUGGCUGGCUUUUUCCUGCGCCCUGCACUAAUUAUUGAUUUGACGGGGUAAAGAAUACUCUUGGGGCUAGUUCUAAAAAAAUAUUACAAAAUUUUUUAGAUUCUUCGUCAUAUUAAAUUUUUAAACGUAUAUAUGAAGUAUUAAAUAUAAAAAAAAUAAAAACUAAUUACACAAUUCACCUAUAAUUUGCGACACGAAUUUUUUGAGCCUAGUUAGUCCAUGAUUAGAUAAUAUUUGUCAAAACAAAUGAAAGUGCUACAAUGUCUAUUAAAAAAAAAGAUAAUAGUUUAGCCUUGUUCGUUUGGGCUUCUCAGUUGAAUUUGUAAGCCAUUCAGCGAUGUUUUUUCUCACAAUAAAUCAGCCAACAAUAUUUUCUGUCAUGGCUUAUCAGCCAACACUGUUUGCCUGUAAUUUUUGAAACAAAUCUUUUGAGCCUAGUUAAUCCGUCAUUAGUCAAUAAUUGUCAAAUACAAAUGAAAAUGCUACAGUAAUCAAAACCAAAAAAAAUCACGAACUAAACAAGACCCUAGUAUAGAUAUAAAAUUAUAUAUUUACUCCUCUUCUAUUAUUUUAGAAGUGAUUGUCUUUUAAAACGUUCUUUUAUAGAUGGUAGCUUUUAGUCAUGUAGGGAUAGUUUUAAUUGGUGGGUCCUAUUGAAAAAGAUGAUCUCUAACUCUACAACUGCAUGUUUUUGGAGACAAGAUUUGAACGCUAGAAUUAUAGAUUUUUUUUUUAAGAUGGAGGGAGUAUAAUGUAAACACUGAUAAUUGACUAAUCCCAGUCCAACUACUCGCAGUAAAAAACUUUUUUUUUUGAUAAACAACACAAAGAUGCCCUCGUCGGUCACACGCGCACACCCCUUGCAGAGUGCAGACAGAGUCUUGACUUGCCGUAGUAGCAGUAUCUUACGACAACAUAAUGACAAGUUAAACAUUACUUUUAGCAAGAUCUUGAUGGACUCAUGAUAGAGGGUUAGAGUUAGGGUUAGGUCUGCCUCUAUUUGGAUGGAGUAGGAUUGAUUGUUAGCUCUAGCUAAAUUAGCUAGCCAAAAAUUAGCUACCUAGUUGAUAGCUCAUGUCUAUUUAUGUACUAGAGUACCCCUUAGCGUCCUCUCCCCUCACUCUCUCCCAAGACAUCUCUCUCUCUCUCUCCACGGAUGUAACCAGAGCCACCAAGGCGAGUCCAUGGCAGAAACAACAAAGUCGUCGACCACCGGUACUUUGUCGUGACCAACUAGCGUUGGAGGCAAUGCCACUUGCCACGGCCAUGAUGGAGAACAAGGGCAAAGGCGAUCAGAGUUGAGGCGAGUCAACCCGAAGCACCAAAUCAAAGGCCAAGUGGCUAGGUCAAAGAAGGAUGCUCUUCUUGGUGGUGUGGCUGUGACAACGCAGUGGUGGGGUCAUGGCAGAGGCGUCGACAACACCUUCUUGUAGCACCAGACAGGGAUGGAUCGACGACAAGCCUCAUCCUCCUCCGAUGCAAGGCCCGUGUGCGAGGGAGAGAAGAGAGAUGGAGGACAGAAACAGCACGAGACUACGUAACUGUUAACACUACCUUUUUAAAUCGGUUCUGUCCAAUGGUGGAUCCAAAAGGGGGGGGGAGGCUGGGUGGGCUCCAACCCUCCUAUAAGUAUGAUUUGUUCAUUAGAUUAGGAUUAAGUAACCUUAAAUUUUUAUUAAUCUCUAACUUUAACCUUAUAAGUUUACUGUUUACCCCGGCCUUCAUCCGGAAUCCGCCGCUGGUUCUGUCUAAUCCUAUCGUACUAAAUUUUACCUAGAGGGAUCCAAACAAGCCUUCACAUUCAGGUCCAGUGGCGGGUGCGGACGCACCGACGCAGCCGCGCCACCUCAGGCAUCAGUCGUCCUAGUACUGUACAGUACAACAUGGGUAAUAUAUUUGACCGAUCCCAGUCCAACCACUCCGAGUAAAAAAACUUUUUGUUAAAUAAACAGAGUACUAUGUAGCAGGCGCGUGUCAUCGAACACGCCUCUACAGAGACAGCGGAGAGUCUUGACUUGUGGAACAGUACUAAACAUUACUUUUAGCAGAAUCUUUAGUGGACUAAGUGAGCUACAGUGUACUGGUAGUAGUAGUAGUAUAGGAGUACUCCUAUCUUGGGAGCCUGCAACGCAUGGUGCCGUCCCGUACGUGCAGUGCUGCAUCCUUUUUUUCCCCUUUGUUUGUACAGUAGUUGUUGUAUAGGUUGGGAUUCGGUGUUUGGUUGUCGCAAGCAGCGGAUCCAUCCCUCCGUCUCCGUCCGUCUCUCUCUGUCUCUGUCUGUGUGCUCACUGCUGCUGUGUUUCACGCGUUGCAUGUCCCGUUCCUUCCUUCCUUCCUUCCCGUAUCAAGGCAUUGUUUAGUUUUAAAAAAUUUUACAAAAUGAAUACGGUAGUAUCUUUGUUUGUAUCUAAUUAUAAACUAAUUAGUUUUAAAAGAUUCAUAAUUAAUUAUUUCUUUUAUCUGUAUUUAGUGCUCUAUACUUGUAAGAUUUGAUGUAAAAAAGAAUCUAGAAAAUUUUACAAUUUUUUUUGAUUCAGAGAGGACAGAGUAGUACAGUACUAAAUUACUAUUAAUCGCUUUGCAUUGGGGACCGACCGCCGUGAAGCAGCAGAGCACGCAUAAUUAAUCAUCAUUCAUCACGCCUCUCUACUCCUAAACGGGACACGCCACGCCACGCAUAAUUAAUCAAAUAUACAGUAGAAGCCGGCGUACACUCUACCGAUAGCAGCACUAGCUAGGAGAUGAUAUGAAAAGGGCCGGCCGGCCGUCGAUAUAUGGAGAUUGGGACGAGAGCUCGUGCUUGUUGCUUUGCUUGUGCGUGCCAUCAUGACGGAAGCCUUGUUUAGAUGUGAAAACUUUUUGGAUUUCGAUACUGUAGUAUUUUUGUUUGUUUGUGGUAAAUAUUGUCUAAUUAUAGACUAGUUAGAGUCAAAAUAUUCGUCUCACGAUUUACAGGCAAACUGUAUAAUUAGUUUUUGUUUUCGUCUAAAUUUAAUACACCAUACAUGUGCCGCAAGAUUUGAUGUAACGGAGAUUCUUGAAACUGAUGACUCGCGAGAUCGAGCUUGGAAUGUGCAGGCAGGCAAGCUGACUAAAAAAAGAAAUCGUAUUGUGAGGCUAGCUUUGCUUGUCGUCCUUGCAUUAUGUGUAUGUUGUUGGUUGCAUGCGAUUAUUGAGGCUAGCUGGCUAUGAUGAUAAACACGAUCGAAGCUUGUCCCAAAAAAGCUAAGCUGCUUGGCUAAAAGAUGUGGGAGCACUUAACUAGGGCCUUGUUUAGAUCAAUUUUUCUUUUUUAGAUUUUGAUACCGUAGCAUUUUCGUUUGUUUUUAACAAUUAUUGUCUAGCUAUGGACUAAGUAGGCUCGAAAGAUUUCUCUCUUAAAUUACAGAUAAACCGUAUAAUUAUUUAUUUUUUUAUCUUCAUUUAGUGCUUCAUGCAUGUAUCGUAAGAUUCGAUAUGAUUGAGAAUCUUAAAAAGUUUUUGUUCUUUUGGUGAACUAAACAAGACCCAGGUAAAGGUAAGGUACCACACAAUCUCAAGUGGGGUGAGGCGACACUAAUCAUCAUAUCAUGUCAUCUGCCGUUGGAAUUGGAAUGGAAUGGAAUGUGAUGGAAUGCAUAUGCGUAUGCUUUAUAUAUACUAGUAUAUGCAGGGCUUUGUCACGGAUCGAUCGCGAAAGCCAAGCACCAGCAUGCAAACAGUAUACUAGUAGGUCAAAAGGAUCGAGACAAACCGAGACGCGAUGGAUCGAUGGAGUUCAUUCCGGGGCCAUGUUUUGGGGGGCGCACUGAAUCAUUGCAGCUUGUCUACUCUCUUGCACUCAUCAUCAGUAGGAGCCGGGAAGGUUGGUUGGGUGGUCGCUUUGCUUUGCUUUGGUUGCUUCAAAGCCAUCUUUAUUAGUCAGAUCUCUAUCUAUGCUAUGGACUAUCAUCAUAUGGUUAGACCUUAUGUAGAUCCAAAAAAAACUUUUUAGAUUCUGACACUACUUUCGUUUUAUUUAGUGUCUAACCACUAAUUAACUAGGCUUAAAGAUUUGUCAUGCAAACUACUGUGUAAUUAGUUAUUUUUUUAUCUAUAUUUAGUGCUUAUGCCGCAAGAUUCCAUAUGAUGAUAAAUUUAAUUUUUUUUGUUUUGAAUUUUAGAGUGAACUAAACAACGUUAGUGCAGCUAGCGGCCCCGAUCGACUAUCUAUACAUCGCUGACUCCACUACCUUUGAUGGAGGAGUAGUGCGAGCUUUCAUUACCAACUGUGGCCGCAAUUAUAAACAGCAGCUAGCUAGCUAGCUAGCUCUAACGUUACGACGGAUCAGACAGAGAUGGAUCACGUCGCAAUGUCCCCUUGGAUUGGAUUGGAUCCGCCGCCUAUGAUGUUGCCUUAGGCUCUGUUUAGAUUGUAGAUAAAAAUUUUUUGGGUGUCACAUCGGAUGUGUCGGAAGAAUAUCGGAAGAGGUUUUUAGAAACUAAUAAAAAAACAAAUUACAUAGCUCAUCAAGAAACUACAAGACAAAUUUAUUAAGCAUAAUUAAUCUAUCAUUAGCACAUGUGAGUUACUGUAGCACUUAAGGCUAAUCAUGGAGUAACUAGGCUUAAAAGAUUCGUCUCACGUUUUUCAAUCAAACUGUGUAAUUAGUUUAUUUUUUAUGUACAUUUAAUGUUUCAUGCAUGUGUCCAAAGAUUCGAUGGGAUGGACGAAAAAAAUUUAGGUGGGAAACUAAACAGGGCCUUAGUACUAGUACUAACAGUCUCUGCCUACUGUAAUAAAAAGUCCUAAACCUGGUCAGAGACGAUCGAGUAUACACUAGUAUAAUGCAGCCUUGUGCUGUACAGUAAUUGUUCACAGCAUUUUGGGGACGACCCUGCUGGGUGGUGGGUAUGGCAACAAAUCUAGCCAAGCAUGCAUCUGCUCUCUCUCCGAUUCGAUUCAUAAUAAGAUCAGUGCACCGUGCACGUAUUCCUUCAUUACCCCACCACACCUUUGCAUGCAGCUAGCAUUGAUACAUUUGUUUAUCUCUAGAACGUAGCGUAACGUAACGCAUGCUUUAAUUAAUUGCUUCGAUCGAUACGGUAGCGUGAUGGGUUUCUUGUUGCGCUUCUCACGACAUACAAUUUGCUUGUCUUUGUCUACUACAGUAUCAAUGCGAAAAAAAGGACGUACAGCGAAGCAGGGAGGGUUAGGAUGAUGCGAGGUACGGGAUUGAUCCUCGAAUGACAUAGCUCACUACGAAUGGUUUAGGAUAUUGUUGCAUUUGUUGUAGCGGUCAUGAACAUCACCUUUUGUACAAAAGCACUUGCCAUGGACAGGGAUGCAAGGCAAGUCUAAUAUUGUGUUGAAACAGUGGGAUUCAAUGUGACUUGGGGCGUGGAGAAGCUAGAGACCUAGUACCCCGGCCUAGACCAUCUCAAAUCAUCAUAUCGAUAUAGGUAAUUUGGUCGAGAACAAUAAAUGUUCAGACUUGAAGUGAAAUUUUUACAAUUUGGCCCUUUUUUGAAUUUUUUUUGCAAAAAGACUCCUCGUGAAACAAUUUUCAAAAAUAGACCGUUUUUCGGCGUUAUGUGACCGCACGCCGAGGAUUCUCGUCUCGGCGUUGUGUCAGUUAACGCCUAGGUUAUGCCACGUCAUCGACGACCGCGGUCGUCCAAAACACGUGGAUGGGACCUCGGCGUCAUAUCAAUUAACGCCGAGCCACGGAUGUCGGCGUUAGCUGUUGGCACGCCGAGGUCAGGGGCGCGGGGCUGGACAGCCCAUUUUGGCCUUGCGGCCCAAACAGCUCGGCGUGGUGCCAUUUAGCGCCGAGUCACAGACCUCGGCGUUGAGUCGUCUGACGCCGAGGUCUGGGCUAUACAGAGCCGCGCGCGGCCUUCUUCCUCCUCCCUCCAUUCAGUCUUUCCUCUUCCCACCUCUCUCUCUCUCCUUACCCCGCCGCCCCCUCAAACCCUAGCCAUUAGGGAGUGGCUAGGGGCCCAAAUCAGCCCCUUCAAGUUGGUCCCGAGGUAAUACUCCUUCCCCUCUUCCAUUCUAUCCGUGUAGAUUUUGCUGCAUUGCAUUUGGUCAUUGUGUUAGGGUUUGUAUGAGUUUGAUUGAAAUCUACAUGCUUUGGUGUUGUGGAGAACGUUAAUUAGUACGUUGUUAUGUUCAAACCUUAAUAGGUAUUGCUUUUAUCAUUGUGUUAGGGUUUCUUAGUUAUUGUUAUUUGUUUUUAAUGAAGUAGAUAUUUAUAUGAUGAUAUAUAUAUAUGAUAAUAUUUCGAUGUGUGAUGGUUGUAGAUGGAUAAAUUAGUGAGGUUGCAUCAUGGAGGCCGUGUUGUUAGGACAAGAGAUGAUAGUGUCAAAUUUGAGAAAAUGAGUGAGCAAUUGUUGAUUUUUGGUGAAUCGCCGACAUUGGCCCAAUUGUUAGAGGAAGUGAAAUUAAAGUUAGGUUGGAAUGAUGUGGAUUUUGUUCAGAUUCAAGGCGUGAUAGAUGUUGGUUCGGCAAAUGGUCCACGUAUCAAGCGUUUGUUGCCAAUAUCAAGUGACUUAGAAUGGACUCAUUACAAGGCGGUUGUUUUGGCCUCUGAAGUCCGUUCUUUGGAUUUAGUUGUUAGCAAGGAGUCAUCUGGAAGAGUAGAAUGCCGACCGUCCCCCGCUCGCGUAGAUGUCGCUCCUUCUUUGGAAGAAGAAAUAGUUGUCACACAACCAUGGUAUGGUGAUAGCCAAGUGGUAGUAUCACAGGAGCAUGAUGAAUAUGGUGGUGCUGAAGGGCUAGGUUUUCCCGAGCAUGGUGUUGGAUGGGCUGAGGACGAUAGAUAUGCUGAAGACAAUACAAUGGAGCAUAGAGAUGUCCAGGGCAACACUGACAAUGAGGACAAUGAUGACUCAUAUGUAAUAGGUGACUCUGAAAAGGGUUUAGAUGAUGCUAGUGGUGAUGAUUCCAUUGAUGAUGACCUUAGUGAUGAGGAUGAUCUUAGUGGUGAAGAAGAAUUUGGCGAUGCUCGGGCCACCAAUCGAUUAGAUAUCGAAGUAGAUGGAGAUGAUGAGAUAUUUGAGGAUGUGGCGGAUGUUGACUCCGAUGACGAUCGCCCCGUUCGUCGUCUCACUGAAAGGGAAAUAGAGAUUUUGAGGAGAGUGUUGCCUGAUAGAGAGCCUUCAAUUGGUGAUUUCGAGGACCUUAGCCAUGGUCAUAGGGCUUUUACUGAUGGUGGGCUAAACGAGAGCAGCAUCCCUGAUGUUAGUGUUUGUCCCAUCAUACGCAAGGGUUUAUUGUUUGCCACAAUGGAUGAGUUGAAAUCAUGGUUGCAAGAGUACUCAAUUCUCCACCACCGUCCAUUUCGGGUGAUCAAUUCAUAUAAGGAGAAGAGGUACACCGUGGCUUGUGAGGAACAAUUGUGUCAAUGGAGAGUAUGUGCUAGGAAAACAAGGGCAGGCAAAUGGAAGAUUACCUCAGUUAAUCAACCACAUACUUGUGCUAGUGCUGACGCAGAAGACACUCAUUUGCAGCUCAACUCUAGGUUCAUUGCAAGGCAAUUGUGCCCUAUUGUGAAGCAUAUGCCAACCAUAACGGUGUCCGCGUUGGUUGAGACAAUCUUCCAACUAUACAACUACUACGUGAAGUAUGGAAAAGCAUGGAGAGCAAAGCAACGUGCAUUGGAAAUAAUAUUUGGUAAUUGGGAAGAAGCGUAUGAGCGCCUACCGGUAAUGUUGAACGCAAUGAAAGCGGCAAAUCCCGGGACGCACUUUGAGUACGUGCCUAAGGAAGGUGAAUCAAGGAACGGCCGGGAGGUGUUUGGUAGGGCUUUCUGGGUUUUCGGUCAGAGCAUUGAAGCAUUCAAGCAUUGUAGGCCCGUUGUAUCAAUUGAUGGCACAUUUCUUACAGGGAAGUUCGAGGGCACAUUUCUUACAGGGUUUAGGCACGUUUGAAGCGAUCACGUGGAAACUUCCCGUGGCAAAUACCCGCAAAAAGCAAGAACCGUGGGUCAAACUUGUCGGGGCCGUCGAUCCACUAGAAGAAGAAGCACUUCUCAUGGUCCUAGAAAAACAAACAAAUAAAUCAUGCAAAGCGUUGGUGCAACCAUAAGCUACAUUUUGAACAUUCAAACACAAUUUCAUAAACUUACAUUGAAUUGGCCACAUGUGUAGAAACACCGUGCAGCGGUGUCAGGAUGCCUAGAUUGCAUCACUUCUGCUGGCUUUUGACAAUCACAAUUUGGAACCGGGAGGUCCGGAGGUACCGGGGCAUCCACACAAGAGGCGUCCGCAUAUAGCUCCCUCGGUCGACCACAUUUUUUUCCAAUACUCUACUCGAUACAGGUUCAUCAUCUACAUAAACAAGUGUUACUAUAACUAAUGCCACAUCUAAUACACCAAGACAUACAACACUAAGAGAGGACAUGAAUCGUACUUACUAAAAAGUUAACAAAGUGGCCCAAUGCACUAAAGAGUAGCAAAACCCUAAAGAGUAGCAAACCCUAAACCAUAAUCCACAACAUACAACACUAAAUGAGGACAUCAAUCGUACACUAUACCAUAGUAAACACGCAUUUGAGUCAAUUACUCAUUGGAUAAAAGGCAUUUCACAAAUGACAUGAAGCAAACCAUUAAUGACAUAUUCCAUAAAAAAACCACCACUAAAACAAGAUCCCAAUGGAUGAAAGGGAAGAGAGGAAGGAGUAGUACCUUAGGAAACCGUUAUAAGCCUCGAUCCGACACCUCUAUGCCCGGUUUUAGGAUUUAGGGUUCGUGGGAAGAGAGAGGAAGAGAAAAAAGGGGAUGGGCACAAAGAAAGAAUGAAGAGAGGAAGAAGAAGGGGCCUUGGCUCGGGCUGGUUAGCCAGAGCUCGGCGUCGAGUCGUGUGACGCCGAGCUAUGAAGCUAGGCGAUAAAGGGCAAAACGCCGAGGUAUGUGAGCCGCCGUGCGAAUUGGGCCGUGUUGUGUACAACCGCAGACCUCGGCGCUAGGUCAUUUAACGCCGAGGUAUGUGGCUCGGCGCUAUGUAAUUUAACGCCGUAGUCCGGCCACGUGUUUUCGACGACCAUGGUCGUCGAUGACGUGGCACCACGUCGGCGUUGUCUGACACAACGCCGAGCCACAUACCACGGCGUACUGUACCAUAACGCCGAAAAACGGUCUAUUUUUAGAAAUUGUUUCGUAAGGGGUCUAAUUGUAAAAAUUGUUUCAAAAAAAAGCCAAAUUACAAAAAUUUCAGCAGACUUGAAAUACUUCGUAUGUACCCAUAGGUCAUAGGAGUUUUGUCAUUGCUUGAGUGGGUAAAAAAUGUAUUCCGCUACAAAGUUUUGACUAUGGUUACUAUUCGAAUGUGAUAUAUCACGCCAGUUUGACUAUGAUUACUAUUAUUUGAAUAUCACGCCCUCAGUUAUGAGCGAGCACACACGUUCUAUGGCUUCUAGCUCGUAGUAGUGUAUGCAAUGAAAGAACAUGUGGAAGAUCCAGCUCCAACCUGCUUGCUCAAUUGAUUACAAUCAUUCAACCGUGCAUGCUAUACGAUAUAAGAAAACCUUUACUUAUUGUACAAAUGCCUCUACGCCAAACUCAACUUUUACCCCUUGCUAAAGCCAUGUUGCAUGGUCCUUGUACUUAUUUUUGGAUAAGACCUAUUGAGUAUCUUCUUGUACUCAAGGUGCUAUUCUGAGUUGUUUUGCAGGUCAGAACGCUCCGUCUAUGGCUACUUCUAUACCCUCGAUGUCUCGACAGACUAGGAGUAUUAUAUAGACAUCAUGUUAAUUGUAGGAUCUUGAGUAUGCCAUGGCUUAUGGGCGGUCUAUGAACUAUGAUCAGUUUUAUAUAAACUUCUGUUGUAGCUUGAUGUUGGGUGAUAUGAACUCAUGUUAUGUUAAAUGAUGUGUUCUUGAACUUACAUAGUAGGACUUAAACUUAUGUUUCUAUAAGAAGUGAACUAUUUGUGCACCUGUGUAAAACAUGAACCUAGAUGAAGGCUUGCUAGAUGGUUAGUAUGGACUGUGCUACUAGGUGAUGACUUGGUUAACUAGAUAUUCUCUAAAAAAUCUCCUGUGUUGAAAAAAUAGAAGAUAUGACAUAUAGCUGUGCCGUGAGGUGAGCAAAACGCCACGCCGGAAAGGCGUCGGCAGCGUUGGUCGUCGACUGCAUCGGAAUGAUGGCCGGGCGGCAGCGGCAGCGGCUGCAUCUGCUCUCGUCUCGUCCAGGACAAAGCACGGCAGCACGUCUGUCUGUCGUCUCACGGACUCCGCGGGAACUAUUUUUAUAGUUUUCCGUACUCCGUACAUAUAUUACUAGCUUAGCACAAGAUUGCACGGACACGAUCGUUCAUGAGUACAUGUGUUCAAAUAUUCGUUGUGAUGACAGAUAAUAAACUUUAACAGACGUAACUAAACGGGGCCUAAAUCAUCGAUUAAAUCAGUUCAAAACUACCAUCAAACCAAUCAACAGAUAUUCAAUUGGCCUUUACUAGAAUUUUUUCUGCAUUCCACUGCUCCUUGAAAUUACCAUUCCGGCCUUCUGAGAAAGGUUUCGAAUUUGCAAAAGAUUGAGGCCCCGUUCGGUUAGAGAAACCCAGGAAAGAGUCGUUCCUGCUAAUAAAAUCUUAUAUAAAAUUAAAUAGUAAUUCUGGACCAGAAUUGUUACGGAAUUGUUACUGGGAGUUUUUCUUGCUGGCCUUGUUCGAUUAGUUUGAAUUUCCCCAGGAAUCAUUCCAGAUGAGAAAAGCUUAUAUAAAUUAGAGAAGAAACAAUCCGGCUAGGAAUCGCUCCAGGAAGCAAAUCCGUGAUAACCGAACGAGCCCUAAACGAACAUGGCCUAAGUGAACUCUCAAACCCUUAACCUCAUUUUCCUUUUCCUUCUCCUUCUCCUUUCUUCCUUCUAUUACAAAAUUGUCACUAGAACCAUUUUUACCAAAUGUUUCUAAAACGGCUUUAACUCACAACAAAAAGUUGCUCUACACGAGGAGCCAGAUUCCUACAAACGGAGCCAAAGAGGGGAGACUACGGCUCAAAACAAAGUUUGGUAACUUGAGAAAAGAAUACCUAAAACAUAUCCAACAGCCUAUCUUUAAUGGCCCAUCCUAAAUUCAUCCAGCAUUUAAAUAAAAUCUAUUAGUAGUGAAAAGGAUUUUGAUUUUGUUAGUCUAAGGUCCAGAUUCUUGUCUGGCUGCAAAGUUGCCCGGCAAGCGACAGGCAAACAGCGCCCCAGGACAGCCCGUAGUGCUCCGGUGCAUCCAACAAAGCAACUCUUUGGUGGACCUUAUAGAUCACACAUGGAUAUCCCCAGAGUAGAUUUGCUAAUAAUUGAUGGUAUAUGGUCAAAACAUAUAGCUUGUGGAUAAAUACAAACGCAAGUUCGACAGUCUGAUCAACAGUAGGGGUUAACCUACUAGGCUGCUGCUACAUGGCUACAUCAGCAGAAGACAAACAUGCCCUUGUCCGAGGAAAUCAACCUUCGUGCAGAAGAUGUCCCAACAAUCCGCUCUAACUGCAAGUUAGCAACAAGGUCAGUUAAAACCAAGGAUAACAAAGAUGCUGGUGGAGAUUAACUCAUGGAGUGAAGGAAUCCAUAUGAACUUCUAAAACAUACUGCAGCAUAAGAAAUUGGAUAUAUACAAGAGCUAACAAAUAAUCAGGAGAGAACUGCAUGAGAAACUGUUGAGCAUUAACCGAAACUAGUGCGACAGAUUAUCAAACAGAAGCUCAAAACCCGAAAGCUUGUGUUUUCAUCUUGAAUCCAGACUGUGAAAUGUGAUUGUGCGACUACAGAGAUUAAAAUAAAUUUGUUCAUACUGCUAACUAAUAGCUCAACUGCAUGAUACAAUGGAUCACAAAGUCCAUGAAACGAAUGUUUCUGCAGAGCAUGAAAUUAAUAGGGGGACAAGAUUUACAGUUUCCACAAUGGAACCAAACCAAGUGAAAUCGUGAACUCACCUUAAGAAGGUCUAGACGAGAAAAAAGGACAUUGCACUUCCGAAUUUCUGAUUCGCCUAGCAUAUUUACAAGCUGAAAGGAAGAUACAAACCCAAGGGACAUUAACAAUCAAAACCUCUUCACAGUAAAACCAUGAGACAGCAAUGAAUUUGCAAUUUAGUCAAUACCUCAGGAUAAAAUUCUUUUCUCCCUGGCAAUGAAUAAAUUAGUAAAUGCUUUGUUCCCCUAAUCUGCACGUCAAGAAAUAAUGAUGAAUAUCCUAGACACAGAAACAACAGGAAAUGCUCCAGACAAUUUUACCUUGUAUCGGUGGUAGAAGUGAGAUCUUUCACUAUAAAGCAAGAUCUUUUUCUUGCCCUCAAAAAACCAGAGUCUUGAACGAGAUAUAUCCUGUUGAGAUGUAGCCCUGAUUUGGGAGCACAUUGAGAUAAAUUCAUAAAUACCACUUGCCUUAAGACUAAGGGCAGAUAACUUAAAUUGAACUAAUAAAAUAAUCUAUAAUGAGAAGGAAAGGUCUACUCACUCUCCAAUUCGACAAAAGGACGCUUCCUUAGAUUUUAAGAAAUUGCUUAUUCGAAUAUAUUCAAAGUAUGAACUCACGAAUAGCAGCAAUCCACCCUGCAUUGCACUAGAAAAUUAGCAAAUCUUGCAAGAGAUAGUCAUUGUAGGAGCAUGAACAUUAUCAAUAGGAGAUGCUGAGCAUGAAAAACUAAGUUCCUACAAAAUUUCAGAAGUAUCAAACACAACUGAAAUGUUCACGCGUAACAGAAGAGAGCAUACCUCAUCCAAGUCCUGGAUCUUUGGAUAUACCUGUAACACAUCAUAAAAUAUAAAAAUGUCAGAUAUAUUAAAUAAUAUAUUAAUACACAUUUAUAUAUGGAAUAGAUCAUAAAAAAUGGUGAAAUAAUAACUCCAGAAUUUUCUGCAGUACGUAGCCAAGAAACUGUCAUGGUGGGGCACACCUAAAGGCCAGCCCAGUCAAGUAAGCUAGAUAUUUGCUUAGAGAUUUAGUCAAGUUGAUAAGAUCAGUUAACUGGUUAUCAGAUAAGUUUACAGACUAGACUGUCAAGGUAGAUCGAUUUGCUAGGAUGUUUGUAGAAUUUGAACUAGCCUAAGUACACUUUGAAGGAUAGUACAAAGUUGCUCAGAUUAUUCUGUAACUAGUAAAUCUUUCAUUAUAAGAAAUGUACUAUUUGAGCUAACUCCAGUACAUUGGAAGAUAUCUUAUACAAGCAUAAAAGAACGAGACCUUGUUGCAGAAAUAAUUGAAGCGUGCAUCGUCAGCUUCAGCAAUAGAAGAUGCAUCAAAUCUUUCAUACACCUGUUUAGUAAUUGCACAUUGAGAAGGAUUAAAAUAGUCAAGAACUGUUUUGGUAAAUAAGAUAUAAAUUAUGAAUGAACUUUAGUAUAACUCAGGAGGAUUCUGAAUCCAAGGCAUUAAGACCUUUUUUUGCACAAAUAUAUUUAUGGUUAAAAUUUAAGUUUUAUUCACUAUAUAUGCAACAACGUGGCAGAAUCAAGAUGGAUAAGAGCAUUCACCUGCCGCACUUCAAGUUGUAUUUUGGGAAGAACGCCUGCAUACUCGGUCACCAUUUUAAUCUAGUAGUUGUUGUAAAACUAUUAAUUCAACAAUACAUGCACUCCCUUAAAGGGCGGAAAGAAACAGCUAACUCAGUGAUUUCAAUUAUGGCAUACCUUUCCUUCAUAAUUUAAGCAUAAUCCAUUAAAUAAAGCAUUAAUCUCUGCAUAACAUGGAAAACAAUUGAAAUUUGAAAUACACAUAGGUAUAUGAACAAACAAAUGGACAACUAAGCAAAAGAAGCCUGUAUAGCAUCAUUAAAUUAUCAUUUAUCAACCAAAUAACUAAUCAAGGCCUCAUGGUUCCUGUGCAUAACUAGUUGCCUUGAGCACCAGUUUCUAUGUUACUCAAAACAAGAGAGAAGGGAAGGGGGCAGGUCAAAACCACAUUCCAGCUGAAUCCAUACCUGGUGUAAGGUACGAGCUUAACAGUAUUGUCUGCCGAUAGUACUGUGCAUGCUGAUCCAAGUACCUUGGACAUCAAUGUACAAGCUUAUUAGUGUGGAUAUAGAUUGAGAAUACACAUAAAUAAUUAAUAAUAAAUUGCCAUGAAAAUUGACUCCAUAAUAUAGACAGUUGAUGUUACCAGAGCAUUAAAAAUAUUCAAGGAAACAGAAUUACCAUGGCCUAAUUCGCAUCACAUUGGUUCCAUGUUCUUUUGUUGGCAACUGAUUAAGUUGUUCAAACACAGCCUCCAGAUGCUCCCAGUUCUACAUCCAUGCAUAAACUGUCAUUUCUACCAAAAGGUUUAAAACCAAAUGUAAGUAGACAAAUAUAUAAGCCUUGAAGUUUACCUGCAUAGAUAUCACAUCUGCAUGAUCAACCACCACUAUCUGCAUACAAACCAUUUUAGAAAUAAGUAAACAAGGAGAAAGGAGAAACAGAACUACAGAAGGAAAAAAAAAUGCACUCUGUUCCAUUCCUAAAUACAAGUCUAUGUUGAGAUACAAAUUUUUGAAUUAGUUCUUGUUCAUACAGACUAAUACAUUAGCGACCUGCAACAUACAAUAUUCUGGAGUACUUUGGGCGAGAGUCUGAGAGAUAUAGUUUAUACGUUUUUUUCAUGUGAAUCUUAGGUUGUCGACAUAUUAUUUAUGGUUUAACAAAAAAGACGUGUAUCUAGUAAUGAGGUGGCGAAUAGAUCAGGAAGACAGGAACUAACUUCAAUUGAAGAUAGGAAAUCAAAAUCCUUCUCCUUGCCAUGUUCUCCUCCAUCAAUUUUCUGAUAACAGAAAAGCAUAAAGCAUAAACAAAGUUAUGAGCUGAGGUGAAAGAAAUUGGUGUUUAACAAUAAAAAAAAAGAAAAUACAGAUAAAAUUUAUGGCUGCUAGAUAGCUAAGUUCUAAUGGUGUGGCAUACAGAAGAUUUUUAGAUGGGACAACCGCCUUAAUCUCUGGUAGACUUUUUGUUUAUUUGGAUCCCAAAAAAAUUGGUGUGACCUACCAGUCAGGCCUUUUGAUUUUUUUUCACCUUUCUAGGACUAGCGUGUGAGCAAUUUGGCAAACAAGGAACAAGACAGGACAUUGAGAGGAAGUCUUCUAUUAAGACAACAGAGUAUUUUCUGCUGGAUUGUCUUGUUUGCAGGGAUGGAGUUUGCUACAAAAGAAGGGGAACAAGAUGAAGACUGACAAGAUCAUAGCAGGGAUGCUGAAAUGGCUUGGCUUCAGACAAUGUUUUAUACCCCCGCUAAAGUUCAGCAUAUCAGAUAAAUCUCCAAUCAUGCUUGAAACGCCUAAAGCUUGAUGGCGCUAUUUAUUGCUUUCGAUAAUACUGUUUCAUUCAUCCAAUCAGACAGAUAUCGUAGAUUGACCAAUCCAACAGCUAAUCUCCAUGAAGGCUUUAUUAAUGCAUUUUCCUCAACCAGCAUUUUCCCGAGGAUUCUGUCCUAUUGAAGCUGCUACUUCUCAAAGCCAUCACACUAGAAGUGUAGUGCCAUUUACAUUUACAUGUACCCACAAGUUCUGCCAUCAGCACUAUGACACAUCUUGCAUACUUCCUCCCAUUCCACUGUACAUUCUACGAAGCAAGAUUGCAAAACCACCCAAAAAAACCAGCUUCUUGCUAGCAUACAGUUGUUCCCACCUUGAUCUCCCCACAAUACUACUGGCUAACCACCACCGGUGUCAUAUCCUAUGUAUUCUAGCAGUUUCCAUAUACUUUUCAGGAAGGAGUACAUCAAAUUCUAGAUCAAUAGGACAAUAGGAUACAAGGUCUGCCCAGAAUAAGAGUAAUGUACAACUGCAGAACAUGAGUAAGUACAGGUUAUGAAGUCUAUGAAGAAAUCUUGUUUUUGAAAAAAAAAAUACUUACACGUUUCAGCGCUAAAGGAGAUGCAACUAUUAUAUCAGAAGAAUAGAAGUUACUAUACAGCUUAAUAGAUUUCCUGCAGAAACAUUAGUUUGAAGUUUGAACAUUAGUUAUUUAGAUUUUCUCAGUAACCAAUAUGCUAGAAAAAAAAAGUAGAGCAUAUAUUCUCAGGAAGACUAGCUUAUCUGUUUCUGAAAGUUAUAUUUUGGUCAUAAGACUAUAUUCCCUUCGUUUCAAAAAAAUAAGGCAUGGUAUGACUCAUGGCAGUCUCCAAACUAAACUUUGAGCAUUAAUUUCUCUUAUAACAUAUUAUUGAUAAUGGCAAUAUCACGUUCAUAAGAAAGAAUAUUCAAACAUGAAUCCGAUGGUUUUUUUCUUAAUAAAUAAUAUCUACAUAUUGUUAGAUUAACUGUUGCUCAAAGUUCACGAAGUUUGAUCGUAGGUUGUGUGUGUAGCUGUGUACAAAGAAACAGAAUAUGCCACCUGCCACUCAAAUGAGUAUCAUAGACUAACAAAUUUUACUUUAAGGCGCCAUACUAUUAUAGACUAGAACAAACGGCAUCAUUAAAUUACAAAGAAUGUGAAAUAACUGCUAUUCCAUAGCCAAUAUUGAUUUAAAAACACCAUAACACCUGAUGCAUUACUUAGCAAAGACUUUUUGAAUCAAAUUAUUUUGCAAAGUGAGUUUCACGAAUGAGGACAAUUGAAUUUAAAUGCCAAAUCCUGAAAAUUGAAGAUCAAAUUAUCAAACAAUUGCAAAAGAUAAAGACAGACAUGUGACAUAUGCUUGUUUUGUAGAAGGUAAAAUCCAGUGAAGUCCAGACAAAUAGAUGAGUACUGAACAUUGUAAUGAUGAAAAUAAGAUUAUGACAUGAGGGGAUUUCCAACAAAGGACUAAAAUAAAAGCUACUGAUUGAAACUCGAAAUGGGAACAUAGUGAAAUAUAGAGUUAUAGAUCCACAACUCAAUAUACACUGAAAUCCAAACUGUCAAUUUGCAGUCAUGUGAUGGUAAAAGGAGGAAAGACCAUUUUAACUAUAGAAUAAUAAUCUAUGGAAAGUGAAGAGAAACAAGCUGCAGUCUGAAACUGAAAAUUCUUAUAAGCAACUUAAAUACUUAAUGCUCUUCCAUCCCAGUAGACCAAGAAAUGCAGUUACUCCUGCCCAGCUCCGAGGAAAAAUGCUUUACUUCUGCUGCCUCAUGCAAGAUGCUGUACUACUACAGAGAGAGACAGAGAAGAUGGUGUGCCAGUGUCUAGCUGCAUGGGCGUGGGAGCCAAGGAGUGUCCAUCCAAUACCACACUAAAUGUUGCAUGCAUGGAACGGGAGCCCAGAAGCUGCCACCCAGUAUUCUGGGACUAUGAGAAAAGGUAGUUGCACCUUCUAUUAUGGAAUGGAGGGAGUAAAUGUUAAGCAAUUAUAUAGAAUACUCACUUCGUUAAUUUUACGCCAAAAAGAAAGUGAUCAUCAAUAUCUCCAGCAAAAAGAAGGUCAAAGUCUGCAGGUUUUGUGCUAUGUUCAGGUAUCCCCUCGUCGUCUGAUUCACCAAACUCCUUUUUAAAUUGUCCCAUGGCACUAUCCUAGAGAAAAGAGAAAGAUAUCACUUAGCACCAGAAAUAAAAGCAUAUGAGAGCGAGCUAUUGAUAUGGUUAUAUCUGUACAUAAUCUAUCAGCUAUUCUAUCAGCAGAAAAAAAGGAUCAAAUGUAUGUAUAGGGAUAAUAGGAUUUUUUUUAUGAAUUUACUUCACAUCUUGAAGAAAUCAGAACCCAAACAAUUGCAUAUAAAUAUAAGAAAAUCAAAAAUUACCUUUUGUGGCAAUGGAGAAAGCUGGAUCAACCUCUUCACAAUGCGUCGUGCAAAAAUUUUGAGAGGUAACAAGAAAAGAACCUAAAAAUAUAUUUAGACAAGAAAACAGGAUUAAUAUGAAUGUAUCUUCAAGACUGGGUUUAUGGUACAGACCCCACCAAAGUACCAAACCGAUUGCAUGCCAGAUCCAUCAAAGUACCAAACCGAUAGCACGCCAAAUAAGUUUACUUGUUGAUAUUUUGGACAUUGACAUGGUCCGCAAAACACAAGUUUGACUACUAAUAGCUGUUGUGAUAUAUUUAUAAAGUAUAGCAAAUGCAUUCUUUUAUGAAACUUUGAGACAAAUCCACCUGUAUCAAUUUUCAGACCAUCCCAACUACACAAUUUAAAAUGGUUGACUGCAUAUCCAAAACAAUAUUUAUUUUGUACUGGAAGUACAAUUACACUAACAUAAUUAUUUAUGGAUAAUAAAUUUCUAUAAUGUGCAGUGUCCAAUUAGAUAUUAUUUGCUUAGAUGUGCUCAAAGUCAUCCAAGGCCUUGAGACCGCACAGCAGCUGGACACCAUGAGGCGCAUGAUCUAAUGACCUUAAGUCAAGUCAACUGGCAACCUAUCCCUAAUAAUUAAAAUAUUAUUGAUUGGUUAUGUAUUUACCACUAUUGCUUGGAGUUUAGGACAAUAUUAUUUGUUUAGACCAGGACAUCCUCUAUUAAAAAAAACUGCAGAGCUUCCUUGGUGUGGGCAAAAUCCCCAAAGGGCACAGUUAUUGGGAUUGGACUGGACAACAUAAUGUAUGGACCCUUGACUGGUCUAAACGGUUGGACAACUGGCUCGAAACAGCCUACAUAUAGAGUUUCAUACCAAAGUCAUCAAAGAACCAUGGCACAGUAGUGGACAGACUACCAUGCCAUUCAAGACUGAGGUUUGGGUUUGAACACAUUUCCAAGCAUUUUUCGUUGCAAUAUUCCAGCAGACUUCCACAAACCGCGCCCACACGGCAAUAAGUUGUUGGUGGAACAGAAAUACUAUUUGAGACAUCAGGGAAUCAACGUAAAGGUCACAUGAAUCUUAAGAAGCAUGACAUGCCAUGGUUUAUAAUUACACAGAAGGAUAAUGUAGCCGAGCUCUACAGAUCACAUAUAAAACAUAGUUCCUCACAAAUUGCGAGCAAACGUGCAGGAAUCAACUGUCAUGACAGUGUUCUUAUAACCCUAUACACCUCGCAUAAUUAUGUCUUUUUCUUCUUGCUAACACACAUCACAAAGAAAAUAUUGCAAAACAAAUGCAGGAUAGCACACUAAAAUACAGCUAAAAAUAUCUGGUAGUGUAAUCUCAGUUGAUGUAUCCACGACAACAGAACAGGUGCUCAAUGUCAAUAUUCUUGAUGUGCUAUACCUUUGGGCGCGUAAAACCCUGAUCAAGGUAUGUCUUAUCAUCCGAAAUAUCUCUGUCAGCGUCAUUCCUAAGCUUCGCGUCAUUUCUAAUUACAACAUCUCGCGUCCUAUGAACAUGAUUCAACUGCAGAAGUAGUGCGCUUUGCAGAUUAGCCAGCACCAUCAAGAGGUUCAAGAAUAAUAACAUGACCAAAAAGAGAUAGUAAAACUUACAGCAUGCAUAAGAUAUGCGUCCAUGGUACUGGAAUCAGGACCGUUACUUUUCAGAUAAAAUGGCUUCUUAUUGCAAUGCAUUAUGUCACGAUAACUGUUACCUACAGCAAUACAUGAAGAAUAAAAUUAUAUCUAACAUUAAGGAAAAUAGAAAGCAUACCAUAUAUCAUACUGUGAACAAAUUUAACAAGAAACAGCCCUAAUUUGGCCGUUUAGUUACUGCAUCACAGAAAGUAGGGUUUGGAAUUGACUGGUGGAGCUAAAUGUAGUUAAUAAGCCCUGCUUCCUAAGCAUUUCUUAGAUAACUGUGCUAGUUAAUUUCUGUCAUUAAAGACCUUGGGUAGCCCAAGAGUUGUGCGGGUACCCAGGCAGCUAUUCUGUCUAGUUAAAGCUCUAGUGAGCUGUUUGUAAUCAAUGCAAUAUCUGUCUUUCUCUAUAUAUAUGAAGGAGACGCCUGGGGUUAGUUGCCUAAAGGCUAAUCAAAAAUCUGUGUUACCUCUAUUAUUUGGUACCAGAGCUAGGUUAGACACCAGAGAGCCACGAGGCCAACUCCUCACCUCCUCCACCCAAGUCGACCUCUGCUGAGCGCGUUGCCAGGCUCAAGGCCGCGCGCUUGAAGGCUGCAGAGGAAGCAGCAGCGCUGGCAGUCCAGGCAGCACAGCAGGCGGCGGCUGCUGCAGAGGCGGCAGCAAGGACGGCGCAGGAGCUGCGGGCCGAAAUUGCUGCUGAGAAGGGAGAAGAAGAGGAGGAAGAGGAAGAGGAAGAGGAAGAGGAAGAGGAAGAGGAGGACUUGAGGAGCCAGAGGACUCCAUCGCGGGACAGGCGCCGUUCGCAGUCACCACUGCGUAACAGAAGGCGUCGUGGCGGCGGCCGCUAUGAAUCACCGCAAGGCAGGGUGGUUUACCGUGACUCCGGCAGCGGCACAUCAUGGCCAAUGCUGGACAAGACAAAUUACUAUGAGUGGAGCCAGACGAUGAAGCUCAGGAUGCAGGCGCGCGAUCUCUGGGAAGCUGUCGAAGGAGGCCCAGUGCAGUACCGCGACGACAGGCGAGCCUUGGAGGUGAUUGUCGCGUCUGUGCCCAAGGAGUUGGGGCUCCCGCUCCUUGACAAGGCGACAGCAAAGGAGGCAUGGGAUGCCAUCGCUGCGACUCGAAUCGGUGUGGACAGGGUCCGCCGAGCGACGUUGCAGCGGCUGCGUCGGGAGUGGGAGAACAUGGAUGUCAAGCCUGGCGAGCCGGUGGAGGAUUUUGCCCUGCGGCUGUCAACUCUGCACCAGCAGCUUGUUCUUCAUGGUGACAGGGACAUCGACGAGAAGCGUGUUGUGGAGAAGUUUCUGCGCAUAGUGCCUGCCAAGUACGCGCAGAUUGUCGUCGCCAUCGAGCAGUUCCUCGAUUUCGAGGCGCUCUCGCUUGAGGAGGUGACAGGAAGGCUCAAGGCGGUGGAUGAACGUGAAGCGCAAGCUGUGACAGAGCCGGUGUCCAUUAACGGCAAGCUGCUGUACACCGAGGAGCAGUGGCGUGCGCGUUUGAAGAAGGAGAAGCAAGGCGCAGAAGAAGCUGGCGGUUCUGGUUUCAAGAACCAGCAUGGCGGUGGCGGCGGACGCGGCCGUGGUGGUGGACGCGGACGAGGCAGAGGUGCUGGCCGUGGUGGCGGACGUGGAGAAGGCAAAGGCGCUGGUCGUGUUGGCCUCAACACCUGCCUCAACUGCAACCAGGAAGGCCACUGGGCACGUGAGUGUCCCCAGCCGCGCCGUGAAGAUGCAGAGCGCGGCGGUGGAGGGGGAAACCGUGCUGGCCGCGGUGUUGGCAACCGUGGUGGAGGUCGUGGCGGCGGAAAUCAGGCUGGGCAGCGUGGUGGGAACCAAGGAAGGCAUGAGGCGCGUGCCCAGUACGCUGAGUGCGAUGAAGAUGGUGCUCUGUUUCUGGCACAUGGUUUCAUCAGCCUGGAACAGAGCACGCCGGCGCACAGCUACACGGCGCAGCACGUCGAGUUCUCUGAGCCACGCGCUCGCGCCUACCUCGGCGUGGACGAAGAAGAGGUGGACAGCGGCUGGUACCUGGACUCCGGCGCGACGCAUCACAUGACCGGGCGCCAAGAGCUCUUUGCUGAUCUGAACACUGACGUUCGAGGAACGGUCCGGUUCGGGGAUGCGUCGAAGGUUGAGAUCAAGGGCGUCGGGUCUAUUGUUUUCCAAGCUAAGACCGGUGAGCAGAGGGUUCUUCAUGGCGUCUAUUUCAUUCCGGCGCUGAAGAACUCUAUCAUAAGUCUGGGACAGCUUGAUGAAGGAGGGUCCAAGGUUGAGAUUGAUGAUGGCGUGCUUCGCAUUUGGGACAAGAGUCGCCAUCUGCUCGCCAAGGUACGCAGAGGGAAGAAUAGGUUGUAUAUUCUGCAUCUUGAGGUUGCACAACCUGUCUGUCUCGCGGCACGCAAGGAUGAAGAGGCGUGGCAGUGGCAUGAGCGUUUCGGCCAUCUGCACUUCGAUGCACUCCAGCGACUCAGCAAGGAGGAGAUGGCGCGCGGGAUGCCGGUGGUCGACCAUGUUGAGCAGGUGUGUGACACCUGCGUUACCACCAAGCAGAGGCGGCGUUCCUUUUCGGCUGCAGCAGCAUACCGUGCCCAGAAUCAGCUUGAGCUGGUGCAUGGUGACCUGUGCGGUCCGGUCACGCCAGCGACACCGGCGGGCAACCGCUAUAUCUUGCUGCUUGUCGAUGACGCCACCCGCUUUAUGUGGGCUGUGCUGCUGCCAUCCAAGGACGCAGCAGCAGAAGCAAUCAAGAAGGUUAAGGUGGCAGCAGAGGUGGAAAGCGGGCGCAAGUUGAAGGUCCUGCGCACCGACAAUGGCGGCGAAUUCACCGUCGCAGAGUUUACUGCAUACUGCGCUGAUGAAGGUAUUAAACGGCAUUUCAGUGCCCCUUAUUCACCGCAACAGAACGGUGUUGUUGAGCGCAGGAACCAAACAGUGGUGGCCAUGGCACGAGCUCUGCUCAAGCAACGCCAGAUACCCUCUCGGUUUUGGGGGGAGGCUGUGAUGACGGCUGUACACAUCCUGAAUCGAUCCCCGACGAAGGCGCUGAAGAAUGUCACUCCUUAUGAAGCGUGGCACGGUCGGGCACCAACAGUCGGCCACCUCAAGGUCUUUGGCUGUGUGGCUUAUACCCGGCGGCUUACUCAGCUUCGCAAGCUCGAUGACCGCGGAGAGGCUGGCGUGUUUAUCGGCUAUGCGGAAGGGGCCAAGGCAUACCGUAUCUAUGAUCCAGUGUCCCAGCGCGUGCGUGUCAGCCGUGAUGUGGUGUUCGACGAAGGCCGAGGCUGGGACUGGGCAUCACCAGCAGUAGGCACACCAGAAGCAGCGGGCAGUGAGUUUUCUGUUGAAUUCCCAUGGGCGGAGGAACUCCCUGAAGCAGGAAGUUCAGCGUCGCCUUCACUAUCUCCUCCGCCACAUCCUGCAUCGCCUGGUUUCUCUCCGGUGGAUGCAGGAGAGCCUACAGCAGAAGCAGAGGAGCCCGCAGCGGAGGCAGAGGCGCCUGCGUCACCCAGAACACCUACACCAGCUCCAGCAAGUCCUCAGGUUGAGCAUGUGACUCCCCUGGAAGAUGAUGAUGAAAGGGUGGAUGCCUACCAUGACGAUGAAGAACUCCGCUAUCGGAAGAUUCAUGACAUUAUUGGUGAUCAGCCAACCCCUCCGCCAGCGCAGCGGCUGUUUGCAGAACUGAAUCUCACCCAUUCUGGUGAGCCUACAAGCUAUGAAGAAGCCAAAGAUGAUCCAGAUUGGCAAGCAGCGAUGAAGGAGGAGCUGAGAUCAGUAGAGCGGAAUGGGACUUGGGAACUUGUUUCUCCCCAUCCUGGUCACCGUCCCAUUUCACUAAAAUGGGUGUUUAAGCUGAAGAAGGAUGAACAUGGAGCUGUAAUUAGGCACAAGGCAAGACUUGUGGCCCAUGGUUUUGUGCAGCAGGAAGGAGUUGACUAUGAAGAUGCUUUUGCACCGGUUGCAAGGAUGGAAUCAGUGCGUGUUUUGCUUGCCUUAGCAGCACAAGAGGGAUGGGCAGUACAACACAUGGAUGUGAAGUCUGCAUUUUUGAAUGGAGAACUCCAGGAGGAGGUUUAUGUUACACAGCCUCCAGGUUUUGCUGUAACAGGAGAAGAGAAGAAAGUGUACAGGCUGCACAAGGCCCUGUAUGGCCUGAGACAGGCUCCUCGGACAUGGAAUGCCAAGCUUGACUUCACUCUCAAGCAGAUGGGUUUUGAGCAGAAUGUGUAUGAAGCUGCUAUGUACAGAAAGGGAUCAGGUGACUCCUUACUGGUAAUUGGAGUCUAUGUUGAUGAUUUGAUCAUCACAGGAGCCAAUCAGCAGAAGAUUGAAGCUUUCAAGGCAAAGAUGAAGCAAACCUUUGAAAUGAGUGAUUUGGGUCUUCUGUCCUUCUAUCUGGGAGUUGAGGUGAGACAAUCAGAAGGGAACAUCACUCUGAAGCAAACCCAUUAUGCUAAGAAGAUACUUGAGCUUGGUGGUAUGGCAGGUUGUAAUCCAGCCACCACACCCAUGGAAGAAAGGCUGAAAUUGAGCAAGGAAAGCACAGCAAAAGAAGUAAAUCCAACUCAGUACAGAAGACUGGUUGGCAGUUUGAGAUACCUAGUGCACACCAGACCAGAUUUGGCUUUUGCUGUAGGGUAUGUUAGCAGAUUUCUGGAGAAGCCAACAACUGAACAUCUUCAGGCUGUGAAGAGGAUCUUGAGAUACCUGGCUGGUACUCUAGAUCAUGGGCUUUGCUACGCCAGAUCAACAGGCAAAGCAAGGUUUGUGGGUUACAGUGAUUCAGAUUUGGCUGGAGAUGUUGAUUCAAGCAAAAGCACAACUGGAUGUUUGUUCUUCCUUGGAACCAGCCUGGUCAGCUGGCAGUCUGUCAAACAGAGAGUUGUUGCUCUGUCUAGCUGUGAGGCUGAAUAUGUGGCGAUGACAACAGCUGCAACCCAAGCUUUGUGGUUGUCAAGACUGUUUGCAGAUUUGUUGGGAAGAAAAGUUGAAGUGGUGGAACUCAGAGUAGACAAUAAGUCUGCUCUGGCUUUGGCAAAGAAUCCUGUUUUCCAUGACAGGAGCAAGCAUAUUAGAAUCAAGCAUCAUUUCAUCAGAGAUUGUGUGGUAGAUGGUAGCAUCAAGACAGAGUUCAUUCCCACUACAGAUCAGCUCGCUGAUAUACUGACUAAAGCUUUGGGCAAAACCAAGCUGGAAGAGAUGAGGAGCAGGAUUGGGAUCAAGGAGAUCAAGAUUAAUUGAAGCAGGCCUUAGGGGGAGAAAUGUAGUUAAUAAGCCCUGCUUCCUAAGCAUUUCUUAGAUAACUGUGCUAGUUAAUUUCUGUCAUUAAAGACCUUGGGUAGCCCAAGAGUUGUGCGGGUACCCAGGCAGCUAUUCUGUCUAGUUAAAGCUCUAGUGAGCUGUUUGUAAUCAAUGCAAUAUCUGUCUUUCUCUAUAUAUAUGAAGGAGACGCCUGGGGUUAGUUGCCUAAAGGCUAAUCAAAAAUCUGUGUUACCUCUAUCACUAAAAUUGUAUCAGUAACCCAUCUUUUCCGCAAUAUGAUUAGACCAAGGAUUGAAUAGGAAUACACCAUGAAUAGACUUCACUCUUUGGGAUUUAGAACAACUAAAAGUGCUAUCUCGUUCCAUAUACAAAAAGUAACACAGAUGGCCAAAUGUAAGAUCAACACUUAAGUAACAGUGGUAAAAAAAAGUCACCAGGCAACAGCUGGUUCAUUCAAGAUUGUAGAAAAAACUCCUGGUUUUGUAAAAUCUGAUAACUUAUCCUGGUUUUGUAAAAUCUGAUAACUUAUCACCUGUCUUAGAUAUUCUUUUUUGAAACCCAGACAGCCAUUGUAGGGAGGGGAUAGAGCCCAUCUUCUGAGUUCUGGAGUUUAUUUCUCCUUGUUGCUGUUUGUCUGCCCAGGAGGGCUUGUUUCCCUUGUACAUAAAAUUCUAUUUACCUCUCUUAAUUGAAAGGCAGAAAUCCUGCUGUUACGUUCAAAAAAAAAAGAUAUUCUUUUUUGAAACCUAUAUUUGCUCUAGCUAAGAUAAUCUCUUAUUAAGCAAAUAUAAAUGCAGAAAUAGCGAAGGUAAAGUGCUUUAAAGUCACCAAUGUGAGCUGCCACAAGGACCUGUUUGGGAGAGCUCCAGCUCCAAUAAUCUGUGGUACUGUGUCAAGGGCGUAGACUGAGGGUGUGUGUGCCAGUGAACCUUACUGUUCUCAUUUUAGACUAAGAUGUAGGCUUUCGAGCUCUCUGAUCUCCCAGAGAGUCCCCAAGUAUCAGGAAAGAAAAGAACCAUUACCUUCCCAGCUACAAUCAAGACAGAGAGAUGUUGUUUCUCACAAAUAAAUAAAACUUAGGCACACAAUUAUUACUCUAAUAUUGCUGAGCUCUACCACAGAAACUGAUAACUGAAACCUUUAUUCACUCUAGGCCAAGAUAGCUGUCAUAGUGAUAGUGUUAUUAAAUACUCCCUCCAUUUCAAAUUGUAGGUCGUUAUGGCUUUUCUAGAUACAUAGCUUUUGCUAGCACCUAGAUAUACAUAAUAAAAGUUAUGUAUCUAGAAAAGCCAGAACAGCUUAUAAUUUGGAACGUUGCACGCAACAAAUAACCCAGAAAUAGUUAAAGCAAACAGGUUUAGAGCCACCGAAACUCAGCAACCAUAAAGCCUAUUCAUGAGACCUCCAGCUCCACCUAUUUCACAAAUUCAUGAAGGUGGAGCUGGAGCCUGGAAGAAGAGUGAGGGUUGGUGUCCAGUAAGCUAUAAUGGUUCUCAUUGAAGACUGGAAACAGAAGGUUAAAAAUUCAUUUUUAACCGACAACUCUGUAUUUUGGGAUACUAUAGGAAUGGAGCACUCCCAAACAGGCCCUAGUGUAAAACAAGAAAGAAUCAUGACCUUCACAGCUGUGAUUAAGGCAGACAAGGAAGAGAUGCUGUUUAUUGCAAUAAAGAGAACUUACAAAGAGAGAAGAAGCUCAUUCGAGAAUUCAAAUGAUCAGACAGAGUACGUUGCCAAUGGUCUCUCAACUUUCCUUUGACAUCACGAAGAUGAUCAUCACAAGCUUCCUAAAAUAACAAAGCAUCAAGGUUCUCCUUAAGAUUAAUCAUCCCAAAACUGCCAUGCACAAUUAGUAAGAUAACCAAAUCAAAAAGCUAGUGACUAAUUUGACAUUUAGUUUAGUCAAUCAACAAGACAGACAAACAAAAAUGAACAAGAGCAAUAUUUUAGAGGGUAUUGUGCUUAACAAAAUUUGCCAAACUUCAUAAUAUGUUCACCAUACGAAUAUUAAGAAAUCACAUAAACAAGUAUUUCUUGUGACACAGACAAUUAGCAAUGCUCCCCACCCCAAUCAUUUAUUUCCAGUUCCCCAACUCGAACUUGUAAGGUGAGGGAUGGACAGUUGAGAAAGUUUAUAAAGUACAUAGAAUGCAAAUGCAUUUAUUUUCUAAAUAACUCAUCACACGUUUAUAAAAAAAUUAGUAGGUACCAAAACACGCUUAAGGUAAUAAAUAAUUUAAACUAAGAGUAGUAGUAGAUUUUUGAAAGGUCAGCUACAAAUUAACAUACAUUCAGUGACCAGAUUUCAGGGCUGAAAAGAUCAAGUUCCCCUGCAAUUACGUAUGGUGUGUGUGAUUCAAUUUAGCCUUCAAACACGGAAACCCAAUGAAAGAGGUAUACAGUUCGACAAUGACCUGAUCGCCACUAUAAUGGGCACUGCCAUUAUGCAUAGUUAUUUUUCUCAUCACCAUUAGGAAUAGUUAUUAUUCCAGGGUUAGCAUCGGAACUUGAAACAUAUUAUAGCACAUCUAGAGACUGGAGAGUACACCCUAUCAUCUAACAAUAUUCAGAUGACUAGCAUAUAAAUUUGAAAAUACAUACACAAGGACUAACCCAAGACCAAAACUCUACCUGCACUUUUUCACCUGUUCCAACCCACUUGGACCUUGGAAUGUCCACAGCAGGCAUUUCCCACUUGAAUUUAUAGUUCUUCUUCAUCAACACCUUGACUUCUUCAUUUGUUAUGAUGUUGCUUACAUGACGAUGAAAUGAACUGCAAAACAGAUAGAUGGAGAUGGUGUUGAAAAAGGAAUGACAAUGCACACAAGAACAGGAACUGACCAAUAUAUAGAAAGGAUAAGCAUCUUUUGUCACUUCUGCUUACUGAUAACCAUGGAUGGAAUUUCAAAGAAAAAUUGCCAGCUCAACUGUAUCCCCACAAUAAAAGUCAUGAGGGCUAAUCUCCUCAGAUCGGUCUAAAAAGAUAACUACUAACAUAAAAAUGGCUGUAGAUGAAGUAUUUUAAAAAGGAUUGAUUUGCUUAUCGAAGGCAAUACAAAAUUGUAUACUACAAAAACAAAUAAAGUAAAUGGGUUACCUAAAGUUAACAUUCUGAAAAUGCAAACAUGGAACCAUAAUACUCCAUAAAGGUGACAGAUAAUGAACAGAUCAUAUAUGCAGCACUAACCAUGAAGUCUCUGUUUCGUCAAAACAAUCAUUUCCAUUGUUUAUUGUAUCACCUGGCGCAUCACCACUAGGAGCGUCAUACUCAUCUUCUAUGUCAUCUUCAUCACUCUGCGCUGUGCCUUGAAAGCUCCCAUUGGCUUUUUUAUCACGUUGAACAGUCCCCGCUGCUCCGGAUUCAGUAUCUACAAUUUCUGCAGCACACAAUGCUUAAAUUCAGUAAGAAAGAACGUGAGCACUAUUUUGUCGCCAGAAGCAAAAAAAAGUGAGGGAAAGUGGAGGAAGGCCCAUGGUGCGAUUGCACGUCAGUACGUCACUAUGCACAGAAAUUUGAGUUUAACUCUGUCGUGAGUUGAGUAACACCACAAUAAAACUCUCUGGUGGGACAAGCUAGCAACUUAAGCUUCUUACUACUGCAGAUGCAGAGCACUGGAGAAUGGCGAUGCAGAGAUAAACAAUAAUGAGUGCCACAAGGAGGAAAGUCAAUAGCCUAAUAAGAAGUCAUUGGACCUAAUAAAGAACCCAACGCAAGAAGAAGAAGAAGAAGAAGAAGAAGAGGAUGAGACCGUCAUCGUGCUCCAACAGCUGGGGAUUCUCCUCCCGUGACUCAGCUCCCUGCAUCGCGGACCUUGGCUUCUUUGGCCGGUUCUUCAGUCCUGUGACAACAGCAACAGCAACACGAGCAGGGAAAAGCACGUUAGGGCACAGCUGCAGCUCGAACGGAGGGGAGGAGGUGGCGCCGAAUCGGUUUGGGCAGGGGCUUGGUACCUCGAGCGGCGGCGGAAGGCAUGGGCUUGCGCUUCCCCAUCUCCCGUGGGGAUAGCAGCGGAGCAGGGGCGGCCUGAGGGAGGACGAGGAACGGGAGGCUGGGCGGGCGGCGCACGGCGGAGACGGAGAGGAUUUGGCGAGCAGCGCAGGUGUAGGCACAGGACUACAGGAGGAGCAGCGCACGGCGGGCGGCGGGCGGCGGCGGCGGAGACAGGAGAGGGCAGGUCUAGGAUUUGGGAGCGCGGGAGGGGAGAGUGCGGUGCGGGCGUGCAGCUUGGGCUGUGGGCCGUGGGCUUCUGGGCCCAACGUGAAGUUGGCGAGGGUGCCGCCUCCUGCCGAUGCGAUUGUUGCCGCUGACGUGGCUCCGUCCCCGCCGGCGUCCGCGUCGGUCCGCCGCCGACUCAGGCCUUGUUUAGACACAAAAUUUUAUUUUUGGGGUUUUUAACACCGUAGCAUUUUUAUUUUUAUUUGACAAAUAUUGUUCAAUCAUGGAGUAACUAGGCUUAAAAAGAUUCGUCUCGCGAUUUAUCGAUAAACUGUACAAUUUGUUUUUGUUUUCAUCUAUAUUUAAUACUUUAUGCAUGUAUUGCAAGAUUUGAUGUGACGGUGGCAGGCUGGCUAAGCGCCUUGCUUAGCCAUCUUGAGGACUCGGCUUUGGAUGCAGGCUUCAACCAACUACGGUUCCAACCCAUUUGGACCUUGGAAUGUCCACAGCAGGCAUUUCCCAUUUAAAUUUAUAGUUCUUCUUCAUCAACGCCUUGACUUCUUCAUUUGUUAUGAUGUGGCUUACAUGACGAUGAAAUGAACUGCAAAACAGAUAGAGGGACACAGAGGAGUUGCACGUGAAGUCAAAGAGUAAAUUAAGAACUUUCCACUAUUCAUUGGAACACAAAAGAAUAUGGAAAGCUUCCGAACGAGUUCACAACUGCAGUUCAGGAAAAGCCAGCAAAAUAGACAGUUUCAAAGGAAGCCAGGGCUGCAAUUCUGAAUAAACUCUGGGUGCACAAUAUUUGUUACAGCAGCAAAUUGAAACACAUGCUAGGGCACUGCCCCUCCAAUCUGAUGCCACAUGCCUACAGCCUGAUCAUUUUUUUUGGCAUAUAGUUAACACUGCAAGACAAUCCACUAAGAAUUACUAGCUGGAGCUACCAACAUUUUUAGCAGCAUUUACCACCACAAUUGACAUGGAAUAUUCAAAACUUCAACAAAUAUUGAUAAUGAUUCACAAAAAGAAGAGGAUUAGUGGCUGCAUUCCUUCCUCUGUCCUUCCUAAUCCUCACCUGCUAAAAGAACAUCCAACAGCUCAGCUUCUGUCAAGCGCAUAUACAUACUCCGUAUGUAGGAGCCACCAUCUCAACUCUCAAGCUGGAUGCUGCUAUUCACCCGCCAAGCUGAACAUCAACACUAUUGUGAGAGAAAAACACUGUUGAAUGGCUAUCAAAUUUGGCAGAUAAGCUCAAGCGAACAAGCUCUAACGUAGGUGGCUGUUUCACUUGUACCACCUUCACCGGGCUUUGUAUGUGCACUUAUGCACUUCAUGCUUUUAGGAUGCCUUCUGCUGCUCGUAAAACUUUGACUAUUUCUCUUCCAGAGUAUUUUUUUUCAGCUAUUAUUGAUGGUCAUUCGUCAUUUGUAAGCAAAUAGUGCCCAUCAAAAUGUUAUGGUAUGAGCAUAGCUUACAGCUCUGGAUAACAUCGACAGGUUGCAACAACUGCAGCGACCUGCUGCUACUGCAACAUUCAGAGGUCUCCACCAGUUUGAGAAAGGUGCUGUGGAUAAUUUGAACUCCAUGAAGAACAUGGCAUGGACAAUAUAUUCUCAGUUACCUUGUUUUUGUCUGCCCACAAUGAAGCAGGGCCUGAUUUUCAUGGCACUUGCUUAUUUUGUCUGCCCAGGGUCUGAAUCUGACAGUCUCAGAGCUACAAUGGUUGUAAGCUGUAACCAUUAAGUAAAGAAUAGUUUCAAGCUCAUUGCAACUUAUAAUAUUCUAUAGACCAUGAGUCCAUGGCUCCACAUUUUGUGUUCCACAGCCAAGUAGUCAUCUUUAACUUCAUUUGCCAUAUGGUUGUAGGAAAAAUGAGAGAAAAAAAUACUAUAAGCUACUGAAAAAUAUGGAUGAAGCAAUAUCGAACCCUAAUACUGGCAACAGGACUAGUAAGGACUAAGGACUAAAAAGUGUAAACUAGUACAACAUCUUACAGGGAUGACUAUUAAAGGUAUAAUGCAU
rnacentral:lncRNA from 1 species